rnacentral:rRNA from 1 species
GCCUACGGGGCGCAGCAGUGAGGAAUAUUGGUCAAUGGUCGGGAGACUGAACCAGCCAAGCCGCGUGAGGGAUGAAGGUACAGAGUAUCGUAAACCUCUUUUGUCAGGGAACAAAGGCGGGGACGCGUCCUCGGAUGAGUGUACCUGAAGAAAAAGCAUCGGCUAACUCCGUGCCAGCAGCCGCGGUAAUACGGAGGAUGCGAGCGUUAUCCGGAUUUAUUGGGUUUAAAGGGUGCGCAGGCAGUCUGUUAAGUCAGCGGUCAAAGCCCGGGGCUCAACCCCGGCCCGCCGUUGAAACUGGCAGG